UACGGAGGUGGCAAGCGUUGCUCGGAUUCACUGGGUGUAAAGGGCAAGUAGGCGGUCACGUAAGUCGGGUGUGAAAUCCCACGGCUCAACCGUGGAACUGCGCUCGAAACUGCGAGACUUGAGGACAGGAGAGGCGAAUGGAAUUCUCGGUGUAAGGGUGAAAUCUGUAGAUAUCGAGAGGAAGACCAGUGGCGAAGGCGAUUCGCUGGCCUGUAUCUGACGCUGAGAGGCGAAAGCUAGGGUAGCAAACAGG
rnacentral:rRNA from 1 species